rnacentral:rRNA from 1 species
UACGUAGGGACCGAGCGUUGUCCGGAAUCAUUGGGCGUAAAGAGCGUGUAGGCGGCCCCUUAAGUCCUGCGUGAAAUCCUGCGGCUCAACCGCAGACGGUCGUGGGAAACUGGAGGGCUAGAGUGCGGGAGAGGAGAGUGGAAUUCCCGGUGUAGCGGUGAAAUGCGCAGAUAUCAGGAGGAACACCGAUGGCGAAGGCAGGUCUCUGGGCCACUACUGACGCUGAGAAGCGAAAGCAUGGGGAGCGAACAGG